CAGUGUUCCAGGGUGGUGCAGAAAUCUUCAAGUACGUGCAUGGCUUCAUCACUGGUGUCCCUAGCGUUGGUCUGUUUUCUAAAAGUUGUUGCUGCUGCAUGGACUCAUUCAGCUCACGUAGGACUGCAUACUUCUUUCAUAACAAAUCAUUCAACAUGCUGAGUCAGAUCCUCUUUAACCAAAGGGCUCAUGCUCUUUGGUGAUCACAGAUAAAUGUAUGAUUGAUGCAAGUCACUUCCAGGAACUCCUGACAAGCCCAUCAAUGACACUAACUAUUGUCUGAGGUGGAGGACAUUCAAGACCUUUUGCCAUAUAGAUAACAUCAAGAAUUCUGUAAGUUUCUUCAGUUUCCAAGAGGUUAAUUUAUGGCAGCUUCAUUCCAGGGCUUAAUUUAAGUCUUUUACCACGCUGAAUCUCUGGAAGGGUAGAGUGAAGUCAGUGUUGUAGAACUGACCCUCUGGGCCAUGUAGGUGGGAGGCAACCUUUAACCACUGGUAAUGUGACUCAUUAUUCCACUGAAACUGUCUUCUCUGUGGUUUCCAGGAGACUGUCAUAGUCUGUGUAGAACUCACAGAUGGUAAACUCAGGAUCGUGGGUCAAAACAAUUCCUUCAUUCUGGAAGUGGUGUCCAAUGUCAUAAACCUGGUCAAUGCCAAAAGCACAUUAUGGUAAAGUUCUGGGGGCAAUUGUCUUACAUAAGUUCAUGUCUUAUUUUUUUGUGAUAAGAGAGGAAAAGCUUGGUCACAGCUCCCCCCCACCCUAGGAUGAUGUUCAUUUUAUAAAUUCUAAUCUCUAGGAAUCCCAGAUCACCCAAGAAGCUUCUUACAUCUGUGAUGACCUUACCAUUGAUGAUAUACUUCUGCCUUAUAAAAUCAAUCAGGAUCAAGUCCAGGCGGAGGUAACAUAUGUAACCAUGGAAAGAGCAGUAUGAUCUCGUAGGGAAUGACACUCAGCUCACCAUUUUUGAUUUUCUCAGGAUUCCUCUGAAUUUUAAUCAUGUCUCCUGAUGUAAUAUUGUUAUGAAUAAAUUCUUCUUCUGAUCA
rnacentral:lncRNA from 1 species